CUACGGGAGGCAGCAGUAGGGAAUCUUCCACAAUGGACGCAAGUCUGAUGGAGCAACGCCGCGUGAGUGAAGAAGGGUUUCGGCUCGUAAAGCUCUGUUGUUGGUGAAGAAGGACAGGGGUAGUAACUGACCUUUGUUUGACGGUAAUCAAUUAGAAAGUCACGGCUAACUACGUGCCAGCAGCCGCGGUAAUACGUAGGUGGCAAGCGUUAUCCGGAAUUAUUGGGCGUAAAGCGCGCGCAGGCGGUCCUUUAAGUCUGAUGUGAAAUUCCGCGGCUCAACCGCGGGUGUGCAUUGGAAACUGGGGGACUUGAGUGCGGAAGAGGGGAGCGGAAUUCCCGGUGUAGCGGUGAAAUGCGUAGAGAUGGGAAGGAACAUCAGUGGCGAAGGCGACUCACUG
rnacentral:rRNA from 1 species